AUUGAACGCUGGCGGCAUGCCUUACACAUGCAAGUCGAACGGUAACGGGCCUUCGGGUGCCGACGAGUGGCGAACGGGUGAGUAAUGUAUCGGAACGUACCUUUCAGUGGGGGAUAACGUAGCGAAAGUUACGCUAAUACCGCAUAUUCUGUGAGCAGGAAAGCAGGGGAUCGCAAGACCUUGCGCUGAUUGAGCGGCCGAUAUCAGAUUAGCUAGUUGGUGAGGUAAAGGCUCACCAAGGCGACGAUCUGUAGCGGGUCUGAGAGGAUGAUCCGCCACACUGGACCUGAGACACGGUCCAGCCUCCUACGGGAGGCAGCAGUGGGGAAUUUUGGACAAUGGGGGCAACCCUGAUCCAGCCAUGCCGCGUGAGUGAAGAAGGCCUUCGGGUUGUAAAGCUCUUUCGGCCGGGAAGAAAUCGUAUCAGCUAAUACCUGGUGCGGAUGACGGUACCGGCAUAAGAAGCACCGGCUAACUACGUGCCAGCCGCCGCGGUAAUAC
rnacentral:rRNA from 1 species